AAAUCACAAAUACUUUCUUGUUGAUCCGGUCUUCGUCAGUGGAGUUUUCUUCUUAACCAGGAAAAAGAAGAAAACUCCACUGACGAAGACCGGAUCAACAAGAAAGUAUAAACACCC
rnacentral:pre_miRNA from 1 species